rnacentral:rRNA from 1 species
CCUGGUAGCGGGGGAUAACUAUUGGAAACGAUAGCUAAUACCGCAUAACAGUAGAUAUCGCAUGAUAGCUGCUUGAAAGGUGCAAAUGCAUCACUACCAGAUGGACCUGCGUUGUAUUAGCUAGUUGGUGAGGUAACGGCUCACCAAGGCAACGAUACAUAGCCGACCUGAGAGGGUGAUCGGCCACACUGGGACUGAGACACGGCCCAG